rnacentral:piRNA from 1 species
UAUCAGCUUUAGUAAUUCUCUGGUGGAACU